rnacentral:rRNA from 1 species
GACGAACGCUGGCGGCGUGCCUAAUACAUGCAAGUUGAGCGAUGAAGAUUGGUGCUUGCACCAAUUUGAAGAGCAGCGAACGGGUGAGUAACGCGUGGGGAAUCUGCCUUUGAGCGGGGGACAACAUUUGGAAACGAAUGCUAAUACCGCAUAACAACUUUAAACAUAAGUUUUAAGUUUGAAAGAUGCAAUUGCAUCACUCAAAGAUGAUCCCGCGUUGUAUUAGCUAGUUGGUGAGGUAAAGGCUCACCAAGGCGAUGAUACAUAGCCGACCUGAGAGGGUGAUAGGCCACAGUGGGACUGAGACACGGCCCAAACUCCUACGGGAGGCAGCAGUAGGGAAUCUUCGGCAAUGGACGAAAGUCUGACCGAGCAACGCCGCGUGAGUGAAGAAGGGUUUCGGAUCGUAAAACUCUGUUGGUAGAGAAGAACGUUGGUGAGAGUGGAAAGCUCAUCAAGUGACGGUAACUACCCAGAAAGGGACGGCUAACUACGUG